rnacentral:rRNA from 1 species
UACAGAGGUCUCAAGCGUUGUUCGGAUUCAUUGGGCGUAAAGGGUGCGUAGGCGGCGCGGUAAGUCGGGUGUGAAAUCUCGGAGCUUAACUCCGAAACUGCAUUCGAUACUGCCGUGCUUGAGGACUGGAGAGGAGACUGGAAUUUACGGUGUAGCGGUGAAAUGCGUAGAUAUCGUAAGGAAGACCAGUGGCGAAGGCGGGUCUCUGGACAGAUACUGACACUGAGGCGCGAGAGCGUGGGGAGCAAACAGG